UACGUAGGGUGCAAGCGUUAAUCGGAAUUACUGGGCGUAAAGCGUGCGCAGGCGGUUAUGUAAGACAGAUGUGAAAUGCCCGGGCUUAACCUGGGAACUGCAUUUGUGACUGCAUGGCUAGAGUUUGGCAGAGGGGGGUGGAAUUCCACGUGUAGCAGUGAAAUGCGUAGAGAUGUGGAGGAACACCGAUGGCGAAGGCAGCCCCCUGGGCUAACACGUGACGCUCAUGCACGAAAGCGUAGGGGAGCGAAACAGG
rnacentral:rRNA from 1 species